rnacentral:rRNA from 1 species
GACGAACGCUGGCGGCGUGCUUAACACAUGCCAGUCGAACGGAAAGGCCCCUUUGGGGGUCCUCGAGUGGCGAACGGGUGAGUAACACGUGAGUAACCUGCCCUUGACUUCGGGAUAACUUCAGGAAACUGGGGCUAAUACCGGAUAGGAAUCCUUGCUGCAUGGUGGGGGUUGGAAAGCUUCGGCGGUUUUGGAUGGACUCGCGGCUUAUCAGCUUGUUGGUGGGGUAGUGGCUUACCAAGGCUUUGACGGGUAGCCGGCCUGAGAGGGCGACCGGCCACAUUGGGACUGAGAUACGGCCCAGACUCCUACGGGAGGCAGCAGUGGGGAAUAUUGCACAAUGGGCGGAAGCCGGAUGCAGCAACACCGCGUGCGGGAGGACGGCCUUCGGGUUGUAAACCGCGUUCAGCAGGGGCGAAGCUUGUGGUGACGGUACCUGCAGAAGAAGCACCGGCUAACUACGUG